rnacentral:lncRNA from 1 species
UUUUAUGUGGCUAUAAAACCCAAAGGUCAGCCUUUUUUUUUCAUACCUCACCUUCCACUUUUCUCUUUUCUUUUCUUUUCUCUCCCUCUCCUUCUAGAACCCAGAUUGAAAACUUCAAAGGGUUUCAGAUCCCAACACUGACGUCAUCGUGAUCUGCCAUCAUUCGAUGAUUGAUCAAGCCAAAAUUUUCCCUAUCGCUACUUCUUGUUUUCUUCGUCUCAAAUAUGGCUGGUUUUUUCAAAAAUCAUUUUCUAAAGGUGUAUAUCAGAAGUUCAAGCCUCGGGUUUUUCCUUCUUUGUUCCAACCUCUUCCGUCGAAUUUUCUCUAACUUUCAAUAUAUUAUUUCUCCCGUCCAACUCCUCGCCUUCACUGUUUAGAUCUCUCAAAAGUAGUGUCGAUCGUUAUCUGUCACCGUACCACUAAUGGUAGGUUUCUAGUUUUCCCUUUUGCUCCUCUUAUUUUCCAUUUUGUUUGAUUCUUCGCUUUUCAUUUAUGAUCUCUUUUGGUUUCUAAUUUUGCUUCGGUUCUGAAUUAGUGUUGACUUAGCUAACUGACGAAGGGCGACUAUCUAACGAGAAACUGAUGAUGGUGGUAGGUCCUGAUUCCUGUAACAAGCAAUUAUUGUGGAUGUUUCGACUUGGGUGAAUUAUUAACUCUACUGUUUGUUAGUUGUGCUUCAAUGUCUAAUCGUUUAGGGAAAUUGGACGAUAUAGGUAAGGAUUAUCUUUUGUAUGUGGCUUUGGGUGUACUAGCCCUCGUGUGAUUAUUGAACUAUUAAGAAUUGGUUGGUAGUGAUCUAAUUAAGAAUUAAGGAUGAGCUGGCUUCAUCCCGUUCCUCCUUUGACUUUUUUGUAUAUUACAACUUGAAUCACUGUAUGCAUUUUUCUUGUGUGAUUUUUCUCUGAUCCCCUGCCAUUUCCAUUGUUGAUAAAUUGCAAAGAGUUUUAGAUCAAUUUCGAUUAGUCUCACAAAGUUAUAUAUUAGCACAUAAUCUCAUGCUUUCUGAUAACAAUCAUCACCUAACCUAAUUUAAAACUUUUAGCCUUUUAUUUAUUAAUCAGAUAAUGAAGAAGAAAAAAUAAAUAAAUAAACUAGAGAUAAGCCACAAAAUAAAGUUCAAAAUAAAAAUGAAUAAAAAUCUCACAAUCAAGCUUGGAUCUUGCUCAACUGAAGAAAAAAUCAUGGACAAAAUAAGAUGUCUACAUGAUUAAUUACAUUAUAAUCGUAUAUAAGAUAUGCUUUUUUAUAUUUACAAUAAUAAUUAUAUUUUUAAUUUAUGAUUAAUAUUUAUUCAAAUUAUAUUUAUUUUUAAUUAAUUUUUAUUUAAUUUAAAAUUAUUAAUUUUUUUUUUGAAGUUACAUUUAUAAUCAUGAAUCAAUAAAUAUAAUAUUGAAUAAUCAAUUAAAAAUUAUAAUUUAACUAAAUGAUUCAUAUGCAAUUAAACUUAAACUUAAAAUCUCAUAAUUUUAAAAUUUUUUCUUGCCAUUAAAUCAAGAUCUUAUUAAUUAAAAAUUAUUAAAUUUUAAUUAUAAAUUUAAUUAAAAAUACAAUAUCCACCUUUAAAUAAAAUAAUUAAAACUUUUUAAACAAAGAAGAUCAUCUUUCCUUACAAUCUUUUCCUGGGUAAAAUCCCUACUCCCUAGCACUUAACUUUGAAAUUAAUAAGCUACUGCCAUCGGUUAUCCCCAUAAAGAGGUUUAAAAAUUGUUUAAGGUGAUCUUUGAUAUGCCAUGAUAUUUUUAAAUUAUGUUGAUUAUCAUGUUUAGUAAGAAUUCACUCGUGAUGGAUAGAAUAAAAUAAUAAUUAUUUUAUAUUACAUUUGAUUUAUAUUUAAAAAAGAAAAAAGAUAUGAUUAUAAAGAAAAUUAAUCACUCUUUUGGUAAAAGAUGAUUCAAUCAUCUCAGAGUAAAAAAAAUUAUUUUUAAUUCAUGGACUUGAAUUUAAAUAUUUUAUUAUACCUUUAAAAAUUAUAUUAAUAAUUUAAAUUAUAUAAGUUUUAAAAAAAAUAAUUUUGAUCAAUAAGUAAAUUAUCUUAUCUUAAUUCUUACACACAUCAAAAGUAAAAUAGAGAGAUUAUUUAAUUUAAUUUUAUUUAUAAUAUUAUCUAAUCAUAUGCUAUCAUAAUCUUGUAAACCAAACGUAUGUUUAUAUUCUUAUAUUCUUAUCCUCAAGUUUUGCCUCAACUGUACAAUGUUAAGAACGCACCCCUUGUAUGAUCCUCAAGUUUUGCCUGAGCUUUCAGGGCAAUCUUAAGAGCACACCCUUAUGUGACAACCCACCAUCUAUUCCCCAUCCCAGCCUCCGCUGGUAUAUAGGCACCCAUUAAAUGCUACCCAAAACUUAUUUUCUUUACAUCCACCCAUUAAAUGGUCAUUGUGCCUAUUGCUGGAAAUUGGAAUGCUAAACGUAAUUGAUCAUGGCUUUACUAUGAUCAUUCCUACAACUGAAUCUAUAGGAACGACGACCAUAAAACAGGACCACAAAGUUAUGCAUAUGAUCUUUCCUUUACUCAUCUGUUCUUUGGUUUCCUUUGUUUGUUCAGCAAUAAAGAUGCUACAGAUGUUUUCUGCCCUGACAUUUCAACAGCUGAGACUAAUGCUGUCUAAACAAGAAUUUCUGUCCCUUUUUUUUUAUGCAUUUGGGUUCAUAUGAAGUGCAGGUACCUGUAACUGAUCAUGAAGUGGUGGUGAUUAUGUUGACUAAAUCCAGAAACCCGGCAUGCAGUAAUGCUUUAGUCCAGCUUUUUGAUACAGUG